rnacentral:rRNA from 1 species
GUCUAUAGCCAUGCCACCCUGAACAAACCCGAUGUCUGAUCUUGGAAGGUAAGCAGGGUCGGGCCUGGUUAAUACUUGGAUGGGAGACCACCUAGGAAGACCAGGUGCUGUAGGCA